rnacentral:rRNA from 1 species
AGAAUCAACGCUGGCGGCGUGCCUAACACAUGCAAGUCGAACGCGAAAGCCCCGCAAGGGUGAGUAGAGUGGCAAACGGGUGAGUAACACGUGGGUGAUCUGCCUCAGAGUGGGGGAUAACGACCCGAAAGGGUCGCUAAUACCGCAUAACAUCCUGCCUUUGGAUAGGUGGAGAUCAAAGUUGGGGAUCCGCAAGGGCCUGACGCUUGGAGAGGAGCCCGCGGCCGAUUAGCUAGUUGGUGAGGUAACGGCUCACCAAGGCAACGAUCGGUAUCCGGCCUGAGAGGGCGACGGACACGACUGGGACUGAGACACGGCCCAGACUCCUACGGGAGCAGCAGUGGGAAUUGUCGCAAUGGGCGCAAGCCUGACGACGCAACGCCGCGUGGAGACGAAGAUUUCGGAUCGUAAACUCUUUCGAGUCGGAAGAACAGCUCAUAGGUUAAUAGCCUGAGAGUCUGACGGUACCGAGAGAAGAAGCCCGGCUAACU